UUGCAGUUAAAAAGCUCGUAGUUGGAUUUCUGGUAGAGUAACUUAGGCCAGCAGUUCGUUUGGUCCUGAGGAUUCUGCCAUCCUUCUGUUAACCUUCACGGAAUUCACUUUCUGCGCUGGGGCUCAGAUAUUUUACCUUGAGAAAAUUAGAGUGUUUCAGGCAGGCUUUCGCCGGAAUACAUUAGCAUGGAAUAAUGGAAAAGGACUUCAACCUCUUCUGUUGGUCUGGGAGGCUGUAGUAAUGAUUAAUGGGGAUAGUUGGGGGCAUUAGUACUUAACUGUCAGAGGUGAAAUUCUCCGAUUUGUUAAAGACUAACUUAUGCGAAAGCAUUUGCCAAGGAUGUUUUCAUUAACCAAGAACGAAGGUUAGGGGAUCAAAGACGAUCAGAUACCGUCCUAGUCUUAACCAUAAACUAUGCCGACUCGGGAUCGGAGGCACGCAAAAUCGGUCUUCGGCACCGUAUGAGAAAUCAAAGUCUUUGGGUUCUGAGGGGAGUAUGGUCGCAAGGCUGAAACUUAAAGGAAUUGACGGAAGGGCACCACCCAGGCGUGGAGCU
rnacentral:rRNA from 1 species